CCUACGGGUGGCCGCAGUGAGGAAUAUUGGUCAAUGGGCGCUAGCCUGAACCAGCCAAGUAGCGUGAAGGAUGACUGCCCUAUGGGUUGUACACUUCUUUUAUAUGGGAAUAAAGUGCAUUCUGUAUACUGCUUUGCAUGUACCUUAUGAAUAAGGAUCGGCUAACUCCGUGCCAGCCGUCGCGGUAAUACGGAGGAUUCGUGCGUUCUCCGGAUUUAGUGGGUUUAAAGGGAGCGUAGGCGGGUUGUUAAGUCAGUUGUGAAAGUUUGCGGCUCAACCGUAAAAUUGCAGUUGAUACUGGCAGCCUUGAGUACAGUAGAGGUAGGCGGAAUUCGUGGUGUAGCGGUGAAAUGCUUAGAUAUCACGAAGAACUCCGAUUGAGAAGGCAGCCUGCUGGACUGUAACUGACGCUGAUGCUCGAAAGUGUGGGUAUCAAACAGGAUUAGAUACCCGAGUAGUC
rnacentral:rRNA from 1 species